rnacentral:tRNA from 1 species
GCAGGUAUAAUUUAAUAGUAGAAUAAUAGCUUCCCAAGUUAUCAGUGUGAGUGCAAUUCUCAUUAUCUGCUCCA